UGGUUGCUGAGGGCUCUCUUGGCACGCUCAGCUUCCCUCCUCAACUUUCCAAGAGCACGGUUGUCCUUGCUGAUGUCCUUGCUGUACUUCUUCUUGAUCAACUUGAUGAAGUACUCCAUGAUCCUCUGGUCAAAGUCCUCACCUGAAGAGAUGGUACAACUCAGUAUCAAUCAUGCCAACAACAAUGCAAGCACACAGCAAAUGAGCUGACAAGUUGCUCAGAUUCAAGGUAAAUACAACAUGUAUUGAUGACGAAUGAUGAAUUUAUCUCAAAUCAGUGCAUGUAUCAUAAUACUAUUUCAAUGCAGGUAGUUUGCAUACAAUUAUCAUGAUGUCUGAAAUCAUAGCAUAAGCCUAUGAAUGUAUGGCAUUGUCAUGAUUUUAUGCUAUGUCAAUGUUAAAAUACAAUCAACUAAUAAGGUGACAGCAGUAAUCAGCAGCUUAGAUGCGUUGGUAGUCACUAGUCAGCUAGCUUAUUGACAAAAACAUUUCACUCACCUCCAAGAUGGGUGUCACCGUUGGUGGCAAGCACCUCAAACACACCGUUGUCAAUGGUCAAGAUGCUGACAUCGAAAGUACCACCACCAAGGUCAAAGACAAGGAUGUUCUUCUCGCCACCCUUCUUGUCCAAACCGUAGGCAAUAGCAGCAGCAGUUGGCUCAUUGAUGAUCCUAGCAACAUUGAGGCCGGCAAUGACACCAGCAUCCUUGGUCGC
rnacentral:lncRNA from 1 species